UACGGCGGAACACGAGAAAUUCCGUCGGAAUCCGCGGGGACCAUCCCGCAAGGCUAAAUACUCCCUAGUGACCGAUAGUGAACCAGUACCGUGAGGGAAAGGUGAAAAGCACCCCGGAAGGGGAGUGAAAUAGAUCCUGAAACCGUGUGCCUACAACAAGUCAAAGCUCGUUAAUGAGUGAUGGCGUGCCUUUUGUAGAAUGAACCGGCGAGUUACGAUUGCAUGCGAGGUUAAGUCGAAGAGACGGAGCCGCAGCGAAAGCGAGUCUGAAUAGGGCGAAUGAGUAUGUAGUCGUAGACCCGAAACCAUGUGAUCUACCCAUGUCCAGGUUGAAGGUGCGGUAAAACGCACUGGAGGACCGAACCCACGUACGUUGAAAAGUGCGGGGAUGAGGUGUGGGUAGCGGAGAAAUUCCAAACGAACUUGGAGAUAGCUGGUUCUCUCCGAAAUAGCUUUAGGGCUAGCCUCGGAAUUGAGAAUGAUGGAGGUAGAGCACUGUUUGGACUAGGGGCCCAUCUCGGGUUACCGAAUUCAGAUAAACUCCGAAUGCCAUUCAUUUAUAUCCGGGAGUCAGACUGCGAGUGAUAAGAUCCGUAGUCGAAAGGGAAACAGCCCAGACCACCAGCUAAGGUCCCAAAAUAUAUGUUAAGUGGAAAAGGAUGUGGGGUUGCACAGACAACUAGGAUGUUGGCUUAGAAGCAGCCACCAUUUAAAGAGUGCGUAAUAGCUCACUAGUCGAGUGACCCUGCGCCGAAAAUGUACCGGGGCUAAACAUAUUACCGAAGCUGUGGACUACACCAUUAGGUGUAGUGGUAGGAGAGCGUUCUAAGGGCGUUGAAGGUCGAUCGUGAGGACGGCUGGAGCGCUUAGAAGUGAGAAUGCCGGUAUGAGUAGCGAAAGACAGGUGAGAAUCCUGUCCACCGUAUGACUAAGGUUUCCUGGGGAAGGCUCGUCCGCCCAGGGUUAGUCGGGACCUAAGCCGAGGCCGAUAGGCGUAGGCGAUGGACAACAGGUUGAUAUUCCU
rnacentral:rRNA from 1 species